AUUGAACGCUGGCGGCAGGCCUAACACAUGCAAGUCGAACGAGUGGCGGACGGGUGAGUAAUGUCUGGGAAACUGCCUGGUAGCGGGGGAUAACUACUGGAAAGGGUAGCUAAUACCGCAUACCAUCAGAUGGGCCCAGAUGGGAUUAGCUAGUUGGUGGGGUAACGGCUCACCAAGGCGACGAUCCCUAGCUGGUCUGAGAGGAUGACCAGCCACACUGGAACUGAGACACGGCCCAGACUCCUACGGGAGGCAGCAGUGGGGAAUAUUGCACAAUGGGCGCAAGCCUGAUGCAGCCAUGCCGCGUGUAUGAAGAAGGCCUUCGGGUUGUAAAGUACUUUCAGCGGGGAGGCGUUACCCGCAGAAGAAGCACCGGCUAACUCCGUGCCAGCAGCCGCGGUAAUUC
rnacentral:rRNA from 1 species